rnacentral:lncRNA from 1 species
ACAGUAUCAUCGAGCUACGCCGGCAAGAAGGUAGCCGCCGGCUGACUGAAGCGGCUUCCUGAUACAACCACCUGAGUGCUGAGAACGCGCGCAACGUGGCCACCCUCCUGUGUCAAUUCAGAUUUAGAGCCACCGUGAAGAAGUCUGGCAGCUCUGCAUUCCUCAUUAGUGACCUUUAUCUCCUUUUAGGCCCCUUCUCAGACAUGGGUUCCUCCCUACACUGAAGUUUGUAUACCCCCUUCUUCCCGUAAGAACAAAAGCUUCACAUAUAACUCCGUACUUUGUUGCACCACCACCAGGCUGCAACCACCACCACUCUACGCACACGCUCAUCCUCCCCGACUCUCCAGGCUCAGGUUUCCACUCCCCCGGCUGCGGGAAGGACAGUCAAUCCUGAUUUCAUUAUCGAAAGCCUUGGAAGACCCUUGACUCAUAGACUCUCAGGUGGCCCAUCCGGGCAGAGGCGGGUGAAAACCAAUGCUCGUCCAGCCGGGAACAGAACAGGAUGUACCUCGAGACUUGCUUCCCGGCUGGCCAGGAAGGCCCUGCCCAGUCUGACCAGAGCAGUAAACACCACCAAUAAAAGUGGGAGCAACACACCAAGGCUACAAAGAAAGCAUGAGGACAUGGUUUCCAAAGUCAGUUCCCUUUAUUAAAUCAUUUUCACAGACCAGAAAUACAAAAU